UCCUCGAUAGCUCAACUGGUAGUGCUCCGUGCCCUUUGUGAUCCAUCAUGAAAUCUCAAUGUCGAUAAAAGAUACUUAUUCGCACCACAAACUCGGAGACUGGUUCGAACCCAGAUCGAGGGA